ensembl:lncRNA
CUCCACUCUAUUACUCUACCUAGGUGACUCGACUCAAAGCCAGGUGAAGCAGUUUGGGAACCACAAACAGGGCACCUGAUGGAGUCUGCCAGCUCGGACUCCUGACUACACAACACAGUCAUUCAGCUCCCAUUAAACAGGUCAUUGCUAAAAUGAGCAAAAAUAGACAUUAUUCUGGGUUGAAAAGGGAGAAGAGUUGGAAAAUUGAGAUUGGUCUUAUGGAACUUCAGCCACUUGGAAAGCUCAGUGCCAACUCAAAAAGUGUCUUUAAGCAAAAUGACGUGAAUAUGGAUGUAAGUCAAGAAGGGCCCAGGAUCAUGCAUCUGCCUUUAAAGGUAAAGUUACAAUUCAGGUAUGGAUGUGAGAGUUGGACCAUAAAGAAGACUGAGUGCCCAAGAAUUGGUGCUUUCCAAUUGUGGUACUGGAGAAGACUUGUGGG